rnacentral:misc_RNA from 1 species
GGCAUCUCAGCAAUUCUGUCACCUUGUAACCAGUUUCCAGUACUGCAUCCCUUCAUGGAAUGGCUUCUGUUUUCCUGGGUGGAUCCUGACUGAAAGAAGGAGGUCGUAAAGCAGCAGAGAAGAUGACUCGCAACAUCAACAACGCAUUUGGCCCAGGCACUGCUAACGAAUGUACAGUGCAGUGGUGGUUCAAGAAGUUUUGCAAAGGAAACAAGAGCCUUGAAGAUGAGGAGUGUAGUGGCAGGCCGUUGGAAGAUGACAACGACCAAUGGAGAGCAAUCAUUGAAGCUGAUCCCCUUACAACUACAAGAGAAGUUGCUGAAGAACUCAGUGUCAACCAUUCUACGGUCGUUCAGCAUUUGAAGUAAGUUGGAAAGGUGAAAAAGCUCAAUAAGUGGGUGCCUCAUGAGCUAAGCGAAAAUCAAAAAAAUUGUCAUUUUGAAGUGUUGUCUUCUCUUAUUCUAUGCAACAAUGAACCAUUUCUCGAUCAGAUUGUGACAUGCCACUAAAAGUGGAUUUUAUACAACAGCCGGCGACGACCAGCUCAAUGGUUGGACCAAGAAGAAACUCCAAAACAGUUCCCAAAGCCAAACUCGCACCAAAAAAAGGUUAUGGUCACUGUUUGGUGGUCUACUGCUGGUCUGGUCUAAUCCACUUUAGAGUUCUGAAUCCCAGCGAAACCAUUACAUGUGUGAAGUAUGCUCAGCAAAGUGAUGAUAUACACUGAAAACUGCAAUGCCUACAGCCGGCAUUAGUCAACAGAGAGGGCCCAAUUCUUCUCCACAACAAUGCCCGACCACACAUUGCACAACCAACGCUUCAAAAGUUGAACGAAUUGUACUACAAAAUUUUGCCUCAUCUGCCACAUUCACCUGACCUCUCACCAACCAACUACCACUUCUUCAAACAUCUCAACAACGUUUUGCAGGGAAGACAAUCCACAAUGAGCAGGAUGCAGAAAAUGCUUUCCAAGAGUUUGUCAAAUUCCAAA